UGUAAGACACAUCAAAGUCCGGGGCAUUCUGGGUCAUAUGUUCCAAUUUACUGAUCAUUAGCCCAAGCUUUCUCUUGCACUAAUGAUCAGCAAAGUGGAACUUGUGGCCCAGAAUGCCCCGGACUUUGAUGUGUGUACA